rnacentral:rRNA from 1 species
GACGAACGCUGGCGGCGUGCUUAACACAUGCAAGUCGAACGAUGAAGCCUUUCGGGGUGGAUUAGUGGCGAACGGGUGAGUAACACGUGGGCAAUCUGCCCUGUACUUUGGGAUAAGCCUUGGAAACGGGGUCUAAUACCGGAUAUCACUUACCUCCGCAUGGGGGGUUUGUUGAAAGUUCUGGCGGUACAGGAUGAGCCCCGCGGCCUUAUC